rnacentral:rRNA from 1 species
GACAUGCCAGGAACCCUGCAGAGAGUUGUGGGGGUGCUCGCAAGAGAGCCUGGACACAGGUGCUGCAUGGCUGUCGUCAGCUCGUGUCGUGAGAUGUUGGGUUAAGUCCCGCAACGAGCGCAACCCUUGCCAUUUAGUUGCUACGAAAGGGCACUCUAAUGGGACUGCCGGUGACAAACCGGAGGAAGGUGGGGAUGACGUCAAGUCCUCAUGGCCCUUAUGGGUAGGGCUACACACGCCAUACAAUGGCCGGUACAGAGGGCUGCCAACCCGCGAGGGGGAGCCAAUCCCGUAAAACCGGUCGUAGUCCGGAUUGCAGUCUGCAACUCGACUGCAUGAAGUCGGAAUCGCUAGUAAUCGCGGAUCAGCAUGUCGCGGUGAAUACGUUCCCGGGUCUU